rnacentral:rRNA from 1 species
GAUGAACGCUGGCGGCGUGCCUAAUACAUGCAAGUCGAGCGAACGGACGAGAAGCUUGCUUCUCUGAUGUUAGCGGCGGACGGGUGAGUAACACGUGGAUAACCUACCUAUAAGACUGGGAUAACUUCGGGAAACCGGAGCUAAUACCGGAUAAUAUUUUGAACCGCAUGGUUCAAAAGUGAAAGACGGUCUUGCUGUCACUUAUAGAUGGAUCCGCGCUGCAUUAGCUAGUUGGUAAGGUAACGGCUUACCAAGGCAACGAUGCAUAGCCGACCUGAGAGGGUGAUCGGCCACACUGGAACUGAGACACGGUACAGACUCAUACGGGAGGCAGCAGUAGGGAAUCUUCCGCAAUGGGCGAAAGCCUGACGGAGCAACGCCGCGUGAGUGAUGAAGGUCUUCGGAUCGUAAAACUCUGUUAUUAGGGAAGAGCAUAUGUGUAAGUAACUGUGCACAUCUUGACGGUACCUAAUCAGAAAGCCACGGCUAACUACGUG